rnacentral:rRNA from 1 species
AUUGAACGCUGGCGGCAGGCUUAACACAUGCAAGUCGAGCGGGGGAAGGUAGCUUGCUACCGGACCUAGCGGCGGACGGGUGAGUAAUGCUUAGGAAUCUGCCUAUUAGUGGGGGACAACAUCUCGAAAGGGAUGCUAAUACCGCAUACGUCCUACGGGAGAAAGCAGGGGAUCUUCGGACCUUGCGCUAAUAGAUGAGCCUAAGUCGGAUUAGCUAGUUGGUGGGGUAAAGGCCUACCAAGGCGACGAUCUGUAGCGGGUCUGAGAGGAUGAUCCGCCACACUGGGACUGAAACACGGCCCAGACUCCUACGGGAGGCAGCAGUGGGGAAUAUUGGACAAUGGGGGGAACCCUGAUCCAGCCAUGCCGCGUGUGUGAAGAAGGCCUUAUGGUUGUAAAGCACUUUAAGCGAGGAGGAGGCUACUCUAGUUAAUACCUAGGGAUAGUGGACGUUACUCGCAGAAUAAGCACCGGCUAACUCUGUGCCAGCCGCAGCGGUAA